AGCGAACGCUGGCGGCAGGCUUAACACAUGCAAGUCGAGCGGGCAUCCUUGUGGUGUCCGCGGCAGACGGGUGAGUAACGCGUGGGAACGUGCCCUUCGGUUCGGAAUAACUCAGGGAAACUUGAGCUAAUACCGGAUACGUGCGAGAGCAGAAAGGUUUAUCUGCCGAAGGAGCGGCCCGCGUCUGAUUAGCUAGUUGGUGAGGUUACGGCUCACCAAGGCGACGAUCAGUAGCUGGUCUGAGAGAAUGAUCAGCCACACUGGGACUGAGACCCGGCCCAGACUCCUACGGGAGGCAGCAGUGGGGGAUAGUGGAAAGUGGGGGCAACGAUGAUCCAGCCAGGCCGGGUGAGUGAUGACGGCCUUAGGGUAGUAAAGCUCUUUUCUCCGGGACGAUAAUGACGGUACCGGAGGAAUAAGCCCCGGCUAACUUCGUG
rnacentral:rRNA from 1 species